rnacentral:rRNA from 1 species
AUUGAACGCUGGCGGCGGGCUUAACACAUGCAAGUCGAGCGGAGAUGAGGUGCUUGCACCUUAUCUUAGCGGCGGACGGGUGAGUAAUGCUUAGGAAUCUGCCUAUUAGUGGGGGACAACAUUCCGAAAGGAAUGCUAAUACCGCAUACGUCCUACGGGAGAAAGCAGGGGAUCUUCGGACCUUGCGCUAAUAGAUGAGCCUAAGUCGGAUUAGCUAGUUGGUGGGGUAAAGGCCUACCAAGGCGACGAUCUGUAGCGGGUCUGAGAGGAUGAUCCGCCACACUGGAACUGAGAAACGGCCCAGACUCCCACGGGAGGCAGCAGUGGGGAAUAUUGGACAAUGGGGGGAACCCUGAUCCAGCCAUGCCGCGUGUGUGAAGAAGGCCUUAUGGUUGUAAAGCACUUUAAGCGAGGAGGAGGCUACUGAGACUAAUACUCUUGGAUAGUGGACGUUACUCGCAGAAUAAGCACCGGCUAACUCUGUGCCAGCCGCCGCCGUAACAC